CUCGUCAUAACAUUUCACACACUCAGCGCGCAUAUCUGUGCAUAAUUAUGACACUUUCAAGGUUGCACAUUUACCAAGCUUCUAGCUGGCGAGUAACCUGUCCAGACAACUGCCCCGUAGCUACUGAGCCUGACGAGUUACACGUCUCCGGACUGCCAUAGGGUCUCAGAAUGGUGAUUUCUGCCUUUGGGUUCAAUUCUGAACCUGGAAUGCUGCUGGCUCUGCCCGUACCGGAAAAGUGCUUUCCGGUACGGCGGUGUCAGGAGGUGGUAUCUACGUCGUCUUAGGGGCAACCCUAAGACCAAGGGGAUGAACGAAUACAUAUACACUUUCUGUUUCUUGGCUGCAGCAAGUGUUGUCCUGGGCGCAACGUUGAUGGCCUGAUGCCGACGCGACCUCCUUUACGACAAUGCUAGGCAAACGUAGCGGAUGUUCAUGAAUUACUUAAGCGUUCAUAUUACUCGUCACAGCUUCAACGGCACUGUACUGGGCGGAUGUAAGACGUGCGUUGGUGGACGCGAUGGCUUUACGAAGGGGGAGAAAGACGCUUAGGAGAUGCUUGGAUUGUUAUGUACAAGUCACGGACGGGGACGUUUAACUCUAUGAAUGCUGAAUUUUAGCUACUAGUCGGGUUUUUUGAACUUCGCUGUUGUUGGUUCCGCCCGUACAGGAAAAGUGUCUUCUGAUACGGCGGUCACAGCAGGUAGUAUCCGCGUCGACUUGUAUGCAAACCAAAUACAACGAAACCAGGGGAUGAUAUGACAGUUCUGGAAUGCUUGUUUCUUGGCCGCAAGCAGCAGCAUACUUAGAUCGCGUUGGGCCAUUUGCCCAGGCUGCCGCAAGGACGACAAGCCAGGCUAAUGCAGCUGGUGUCCAUGAAGGGUUCAUUGCGUGCUGAAUAUGAAAGAUUGCCACAAAGACUCUGGCCCUGACGGAUGUGCAUUGUAAGGAAGGAAACGGAUGAAGAGUUAGCUCCGCGGUGCAUGGAACGCUAAGUAAGGAUGAUGGACUGUAAGCGUUAAUAUUCGGAGCAGGGAUUUCUGUCUUUUCGCUCGGUUCUGAAAGUCUAACGUCGAUUGCGCAUCCCGUUUGUUCGGGGAACGUACUUAGAUCUGAUACGGCUCACCCUAUUAGCAAUAAUGCUUUCUAUGCUUGCAUAACCAUUUUGCAAACACAGACCAUUAUGCCAAAUCUUUGCUGUAAUGCCUCUGGCCCAGAUGACAUUGCAUGUGCAACAUGUCAAAUAAACUCUGCUGCCC
rnacentral:lncRNA from 1 species